rnacentral:rRNA from 1 species
CACGUAGGGGCCAAGCGUUGUCCGGAUUUAUUGGGCGUAAAGAGCUCGUAGGCGGCUCGGUAAGUCAGGUGUGAAACCUCCAGGCUCAACCUGGAGACGCCACCUGAUACUGCUGCGGCUAGAGUCCGGUAGGGGAGCGUGGAAUUCCUGGUGUAGCGGUGAAAUGCGCAGAUAUCAGGAGGAACACCAGCGGCGAAGGCGGCGCUCUGGGCCGGAACUGACGCUGAGGAGCGAAAGCGUGGGUAGCAAACAGG